UGAACGCUGGCGGCAUGCCUAACACAUGCAAGUCGAACGGAAACGAUGGAAGCUUGCUUCCAGGCGUCGAGUGGCGGACGGGUGAGUAAUACUUAGGAAUCUGCCCAGUAGUGGGGGACAACUCGAGGAAACUCGAGCUAAUACCGCAUACGCCCUACGGGGGAAAGCGGAGGAUCCUUCGGGACUUCGCGCUAUUGGAUGAGCCUAAGUCGGAUUAGCUUGUUGGUGAGGUAAAAGCUCACCAAGGCGACGAUCCGUAGCUGGUCUGAGAGGACGAUCAGCCACACUGGGACUGAGACACGGCCCAGACUCCUACGGGAGGCAGCAGUGGGGAAUAUUGGACAAUGGGGGCAACCCUGAUCCAGCAAUGCCGCGUGUGUGAAGAAGGCCUGCGGGUUGUAAAGCACUUUCAGUAGAGAAGAAAAGCUUACGGAUAAUACCCGUGAGUCUUGACGUUACCUACAGAAGAAGCUCCGGCUAACUCC
rnacentral:rRNA from 1 species